rfam:Oryza glumipatula chromosome 6, whole genome shotgun sequence.
AAAAAAAAAAACCCUAAGUUUCCGUGUCUAAAGUUUGACUGUCUGUCUUAUAUGAAAUUUUUUUAUAAUUAGUAUUUUCAUUGUUGUUAGAUGAUAAAACAUGAUUAAUAUUUUAUGCGUGACUUGUCUUUUUAAUUUUUUUUUAUAAUUUUUCUAAAUAAGACGGAUGAUCAAACGUUGGACACGAAAACCCAGGGUUUGUCUUUUU